rnacentral:rRNA from 1 species
GAGUACGUCGGCAACGAUGAAACUCAAAGGAAUUGACGGGGGCCCGCACAAGCGGAGGAGCAUGUGGUUUAAUUCGAUGAUACGCGAGGAACCUUACCUGGGCUUGAACGUAUGGUGCAUGUAUGUGAAAGCAUACUUUUCAGCAAUGAACUUCAUACGAGGUGCUGCAUGGUUGUCGUCAGCUCGUGCCGUGAGGUGUUAGGUUAAGUCCUGCAACGAGCGCAACCCCUAUUUUUAGUUGCCAUCAGGUCAAGCUGGGCACUCUAGAGAGACUGCCUGCGCAAGCAGAGAGGAAGGUGGGGAUGACGUCAAAUCAGCACGGCCCUUACGUCCAGGGCUACACACGUGCUACAAUGGUCGGUACAGAGGGCAGCUACUUAGUGAUAAGAUGCGAAUCUCCAAAGCCGGUCUUAGUUCGGAUCGAAGUCUGCAACUCGACUUCGUGAAGCUGGAUUCGCUAGUAAUCGUAUAUCAGCCAUGAUACGGUGAAUACGUUCCCGGGCCUUGUACACACCGCCCGUCAAGCCAUGGAAGUUGGGGGUACCUGAAGUCGAUUACCGCAAGGGAUUGCCUAGGGUAAAACCGAUAACUGGGGCUAAGUCGUAACAAGGUAACCAAGGGCGAA